GGCGACAUAGCUCAGUUGGGAGAGCGCACGACUGAAGUUCAACAUCAAUUGAUUCGGAUCAUUUCGUGCGGUCCCUGGUUCGAUCCCGGGUGGCGCCA
rfam:Cryptococcus dejecticola CBS 10117 unplaced genomic scaffold supercont1.2, whole genome shotgun sequence.